AUUGAACGCUGGCGACAUGCCUUACACAUGCCAGUCGAACGGCAGCACGGGUGCUUGCACCUGGUGGCGAGUGGCGAACGGGUGAGUAAUACAUCGGAACAUGUCCUGUAGUGGGGGAUAGCCCGGCGAAAGCCGGAUUAAUACCGCAUACGAUCUACGGAUGAAAGCGGGGGACCUUCGGGCCUCGCGCUAUAGGGUUGGCCGAUGGCUGAUUAGCUAGUUGGUGGGGUAAAGGCCUACCAAGGCGACGAUCAGUAGCUGGUCUGAGAGGACGACCAGUCACACUGGGACUGAGACACGGCCCAGACUCCUACGGGAGGCAGCAGUGGGGAAUUUUGGACAAUGGGCGAAAGCCUGAUCCAGCAAUGCCGCGUGUGUGAAGAAGGCCUCCGGGUUGUAAAGCACUUUUGUCCGGAAAGAAAUCCUUGGCCCUAAUACGGUCGGGGGAUGACGGUACCGGAAGAAUAAGCACCGGCUAACUACGUG
rnacentral:rRNA from 1 species